rnacentral:rRNA from 1 species
GACGUAGGGUCCAAGCGUUGUCCGGAUUUACUGGGCGUAAAGAGCGCGUAGGCGGUCUGUUAAGUGAGAAGUGAAAUCUCCAGGGCUCAACCCGGAAACUGCUUUUCAUACUGGCAGACUUGAGGGAUGCAGAGGUGAAUGGAAUUCCUGGUGUAGCGGUGAAAUGCGUUGAUAUCAGGAGGAACACCCAUGGCGAAGGCAGUUCACUGGGCAUCAUCUGACGCUGAGGCGCGAAAGCGUGGGUAGCAAACAGGAUUAGAUACCCUGGUAGUCCACGCCCUAAACGAUGGAUACUAGGCGUAAGAGGUAUCGACCCCUCUUGUGCCGCAGCUAACGCACUAAGUAUCCCGCCUGGGGAGUACGGCCGCAAGGUUGAA